rnacentral:rRNA from 1 species
AUGCACGGUGAAUGGCAAGCCAUGUUCCUUCGGAGGCCUUGGCAAUUUGAUGUGGAUACUACACACAAGGGCAAGGAAAAUUCUUACUCUUUCAUUUGGAACAAGAGAAGGAUCAUUAUCUUACCAAACAAACCCGAAGGUAAUACCUCUAAGGAGGAGGGGAAAACUAUGUUAACUAUCUCCCAUACCUCUCAUGAGUUUAUGGAAGACUUGAGGGAGGCAGAUUUGUGUGCUGCACUUGUUGUAAAGGGAGAAGAGCACCUGACUGUUGAAAUUCCAGCAAAGGUACGUGGUUUAUUGGCAGAAUUUCAGAACAUACUUGGGGAGCCACAUGGCUUGCCACCGAUGAGAGGAAUUCAACAUAGAAUUGACUUAAUUCCGGGAGCAAGUCUUCCUAAUCUUCCACACUAUCGAAUGAGCCCAAAGGAGCAUGGUAUAUUGAAGGAGAAAGUGGAGGAAUUGUUGCAAAAGGGGCACAUUCGAGAAAGUAUUAGCCCAUGUGCUGUACCAGCCCUACUCGCGCCAAAGAAAGAUGGAUCUUGGCGCAUGUGUACGGACAGUAGAGCCGCUAACAAGAUCACCGUAAGGCAUAGAUUCCCUAUUCCCCGUCUGGAUGAUAUGUCGGAUCAGCUUAGUGGAGCAAGAGUGUUCACAAAGCUAGAUUUAAGAAGUGGAUAUCAUCAAAUCCGUAUAAGACCCGGGGAUGAAUGGAAGACCGCCUUCAAGACAAAGGAAGGGUUGUUUGAAUGA